GACGGAGGAUGCAAGUGUUAUCCGGAAUCACUGGGCGUAAAGCGUCUGUAGGUGGUCAAAUAAGUCAACUGUUAAAUCUUGAGGCUCAACCUCAAAAUCGCAGUCGAAACUAUUCGACUAGAGUAUAGUAGGGGUAAAGGGAAUUUCCAGUGGAGCGGUGAAAUGCGUAGAGAUUGGAAAGAACACCGAUGGCGAAGGCACUUUACUGGGCUAUUACUAACACUGAGAGACGAAAGCGAGGGUAGCAAAUGGG
rnacentral:rRNA from 1 species